ACAGCUACUACGAUGAUGGUCCUCUGUGGACAUCUUACUAGACAGUGCUGGAUUGUGUGCUCUGAUUCUAACACUGUCUGGUAACGAUGUUCAAAGGGUGAGCCGAACUUCUACAGUCAAC
rnacentral:pre_miRNA from 11 species